GAUGAAGAACGUAGUGAAAUGCGACAAGUAAUGUGAAUUGCAGAAUUCCGUGAAUCAUCGAAUCUUUGAACGCACAUUGCGCCCUCUGGUAUUCUGGAGGGCAUGCCUGUCCGAGCGUCAUUGCUGCCCUCAAGCACGGCUUGUGUGUUGGGCCUCCGUCCUCCUCCCGGGGGACGGGCCCGAAAGGCAGCGGCGGCACCGCGUCCGGUCCUCGAGCGUAUGGGGCUUCGUCACCCGCUCUUGUAGGCCCGGCCGGCGCUUGCCGACACAUCAAUCUUUUUUCCAGGUUGACCUCGGAUCAGGUAGGGAUACCCGCUGAACUUAAGCAUAUCAAUAAGCGGAGGA
rnacentral:misc_RNA from 1 species